rnacentral:rRNA from 1 species
UACGGGGGGGGCAAGCGUUGUUCGGAAUUACUGGGCGUAAAGGGCGCGUAGGCGGUCGUGACAAGUCACUUGUGAAAUCUCCGGGCUUAACUCGGAACGGUCAAGUGAUACUGUCGGACUAGAGUACAGAAGGGGCAACUGGAAUUCUCGGUGUAGCGGUGAAAUGCGUAGAUAUCGAGAGGAACACCUGCGGCGAAGGCGGGUUGCUGGGCUGAUAACUGA